GACAGAGGUGGCAAGCGUUGUUCGGAUUCAUUGGGUGUAAAGGGUGCGUAGGCGGUUUGGAAAGUCAGAUGUGAAAUCCUACAGCUUAACUGUAGAACUGCAUUUGAAACUUCCAGACUAGAGUAUGGAAGAGGUGAAGGGAAUUCCCGGUGUAAGGGUGAAAUCUGCAGAUAUCGGGAAGAACACCAGUAGCGAAGGCGCUUCACUGGUCCAUUACUGACGCUGAGUGCACGAAGGUGUGGGGAGCAAACGGG
rnacentral:rRNA from 1 species